ACCUGGGUGGCUCAGUCGGUUGAGCAUCCGACUUCAGCUCAGGUCAUGAUCUCACAGUUCGUGGGUUCGAGUCCCGCAUUGGGCU
rnacentral:tRNA from 1 species